CACGUAGGGUGCGAGCGUUGUCCGGAAUUAUUGGGCGUAAAGAGCUCGUAGGCGGUGUGUCGCGUCGGCCGUGAAAACCUGCAGCUUAACUGUGGGCUUGCGGUCGAUACGGGCAUCACUGGAGUUCGGCAGGGGAGACUGGAAUUCCUGGUGUAGCGGUGAAAUGCGCAGAUAUCAGGAGGAACACCGGUGGCGAAGGCGGGUCGCUGGAUCUCUUCUGACGCUGAGGCGCGAAAGCUAGGGGAGCAAACGGG
rnacentral:rRNA from 1 species